AGAAGGGUGGCUCAGUGGUAGAGCACAUGCUUAGCAUACAUGAGGUCUUGGGUUCAAUGCCCCAUACCUCCA
rnacentral:tRNA from 1 species